rnacentral:rRNA from 1 species
UACGUAGGUGCCAAGCGUUGUCCGGAAUUAUUGGGCGUAAAGGGAGCGCAGGCGGUGGGCAUAGUCGGAUGUGAAAGCCCCCGGCUUAACCGUGGAAGGGCAUUGGAAACUGUCCAACUUGAAUGCAGAAGAGGGAAGUGGAAUUCCAUGUGUAGCGGUGAAAUGCGUAGAUAUAUGGAGGAACACCAGUGGCGAAGGCGACUUACUGGACUGUGAUUGACGCUGAGGCGCGAAAGCGUGGGUAGCGAACAGG